UACGUAGGGGGCAAGCGUUGUCCGGAAUCAUUGGGCGUAAAGAGCGUGUAGGCGGCCCGAUAAGUCCGCUGUGAAAGUCCAGGGCUCAACCCUGGAAUGCCGGUGGAUACUGUCGGGCUCGAAUCCGGAAGAGGCGAGUGGAAUUCCUGGUGUAGCGGUGAAAUGCGCAGAUAUCAGGAGGAACACCAAUGGCGAAGGCAGCUCGCUGGGACGUGACUGACGCUGAGACGCGAAAGCGUGGGGAGCAAACAGG
rnacentral:rRNA from 1 species